rnacentral:rRNA from 1 species
UACGGGGGGGGCAAGCGUUGUUCGGAAUUACUGGGCGUAAAGGGCUCGUAGGCGGCCAACUAAGUCAGACGUGAAAUCCCUCGGCUUAACCGGGGAACUGCCUCUGAUACUGGAUGGCUUGAGGUUGGGAGAGGGAUGCGGAAUUCCAGGUGUAGCGGUGAAAUGCGUAGAUAUCUGGAGGAACACCGGUGGCGAAGGCGGCAUCCUGGACCAACACUGACGCUGAGGAGCGAAAGCCAGGGGAGCAAACGGG